UACGUAGGGUGCAAGCGUUGUCCGGAAUUAUUGGGCGUAAAGAGCUCGUAGGCGGUCUGUCGCGUCGGCUGUGAAAACCCGGAGCUCAACUCCGGGCCUGCAGUCGAUACGGGCAGGCUGGAGGCAGGCAGGGGAGAAUGGAAUUCCCGGUGUAGCGGUGAAAUGCGCAGAUAUCGGGAGGAACACCGGUGGCGAAGGCGGUUCUCUGGGCCUGUUCUGACGCUGAGGAGCGAAAGCGUGGGGAGCGAACAGG
rnacentral:rRNA from 1 species